rnacentral:lncRNA from 1 species
UGCUUAAUUAAACAAACAUCAGCAGACAACAAUAUACAGUUCCUCAUUAUGUUUAACUUAUCUUUUAGUCAGAUCUUUAAGUUGAAAGUGCUAAAGUGACAGUAGAGACCUUGAAGCAAUUACGAGCUAAACGUUAUAAUAGCUUGAACACUCCGUACUUUAACUUUUUAUAUAUUAUAACACCAACAUAUUGGCGAUUAUUUCACACAUUCCAUAUCAGCCACACGUACCAGACAGGUGAUGCUGGCAAUUAACUGGAAAUUAUUUAGUACAUGAUGAUUAUAAUGAGAUUCAUGUUUAGCAGUUAACUGGGGCAAUGACAGCACCAACGACAGUAAGGCCCGUCUUCCAGGUGGUUCCAUCACAUCCAUUCAUCGAGAACUUGACAUCAGUAUUCUCACAGCCACAGGCGCCUGUGUUGCAGAAUUCACCAACCUUAAGUCCCACCAAAGUAUUCGUUGGCUUUGUCUUCAAAUCUUCCUUGUGCUCUUCAGUAGUGCCGUUGGGACGAGUAAGCUUAAGGGUCACUGGUCCAUUCAUGCAAAGAUUGUCGCUAAGCUCCACAGCAAGAUACACUGCGUAUUUCACUCCCUUGGUGAGGUUGUUGGCAUUGUACUUUCCGUCAAUUUGUAGCCAGCAUACUGUGAUCAGUUCAGCAACCUCCAUAGGCUGGCAGCUGUGUGUACAAAAGUCCGAAAAACCAAAUAUUAUGUAAAAAUUAUCUCAAAUCUUUGGUCUCGAAAAAUGGAAGUCAAUGGGCUGUUUGGGUUAGCUGAAAAGAAGGGACUUUUUACUUAAAUUAAAAAAGGGGAGUAGAAGUGAGAAGUAAAUAAGUUAAUAAAGAGUUUGGAAAAGAAGUAGAAGUUGUGAGAGAAAAUCUAGUGUGCCUGUUUGUUUAGCAGAAGCAGGGGCUUCUGCUUCUGACUUCUGCUUCUUGACCCGUUUGUGUAAAGAAGUAGAAGCACUUUUAAGAAGCUGAGAAUGCUAGCUUCUCUCUCACAGCUUCUACUUUUUUUCCAAACACUUUAUUCACUUAUUUACUUCUCACUUCUAAUUCACUUCUUUAUUUUAAACAAAGAAGCACUUCUUUUAAGCUUAGCCAAACGGCCCCAGUAUCUUCAGUUUCUUAAAAGUGCUUUUACUUAUUUACACAAACAGCUCAAGAAAAGCAGAAGCCAGAAGCAACUUCUGUCUCGUCAUUAAAUUUGUAGUACAAAAACACCAAAAGCUUUCCAACAUGUGCUAUACAUACCUGAUUGGGUAUGUCUUAGAAACCCAUUUCCAGUAGCGGCUGUCUGAACCCCAAACUAUUGAGAGUUCCUUUGCACUGAUAACCGCAGCGAAGGACUGGACCAAUUAAUCAACAUUAACGGAGAUAUUUCCGAAUCAAAAUAUAUCGUACAAAAUUUAUAUGACUAAUUAGACUAUAAUUAAGAACAAGUCACACGCAGGCAUACUGGUGUGGGCAUGGUGCAUGACACUAAUACUAUUGCAGAAUUAUAAUUUCAUAAUUACCUAAAUAAAAAAAUAGUGAAAAUUAACAACCAAAAUAACUUACACUCUUGUCUUUCGCAGCCUGGACACCUUGAGUCCACAAUGACACGAUGUCAUCACGCACACGCUGCACUUGAGCCAUCCUCCUUGCUAGUUGAGAAUAAGAAGUUCUUAUGUAAUUCUUGUGCUGUCGAUGCCAAUCCUCACUUCCUUGAGCUCUAUUUAUAGCGUUGCGUACGGUCCUAUUUGUGCACUUAUUGAUAGUUACACUUAAACUUAUCUACGGUAGUCGGAUGCUCUGUCCCGUUAUUCUUUCUUUUUAUAAAAUAAGUGGAGCUUGGAUAAGAGAUUCAUCAAUUAUUUAUGCCAUUUGUGCGGUACAAGCCUCACUGGAAUCUGGUAACUUUCGGUUUUGAUUGAAAUACUCAUAUAACGACGAAAUCGUGGAAGCAUCCGACUAUGAGAAAAGAAAUACAGUGACAGGAGUACUUCUGUCAGAUCUAGGAGCCUAGGACAUUACUCAGCUCGAUUAACUCUGAAAUUUAAUAUUGGCACAGAUGAACCAAACCACGAAACAUUGAGCUUCUCAGUAAUUGUUGAACCAGAAUCUGGAAACUGAAGUAGAAUAUUCGUCACAAGAUCUUCCUGUAUAAAUAAACUUAUAAUUACUUUCAAGGCUGUUACAUUUGGUAAUGAGUAAUGCUACGUACACAGAAACGGAUACAGAUUUGUGUACAGAAUGACGUGGAUUCCACCGACUUUCUCACUUCAUUUAUCAUUCAUACUCUGUCGUUGUUUUCUUUUCUUUUUUCAAUACAUCUCCGCUUCUUUUAGUUCUGUCUUCUACUUUUGAGUCUUUAUAGUAUUUUGUUAUAUAGGCAGUUUAUAUGUUUAAUCGAUUUUUGAUAAUUUUAUUAUAUAAACAAAUAUAUUUUUUUUACAUUUUGAUAUCUUUCUUUACUUCUAUUAUUCAAUAUAUUUAUCAUAUAUGUAUUAUUAUCUUGAAAUUUGACAUUUUCUUCCAUAAUUUAUUUACUGUAUUUUGUAGUGGAUUGAUCUAUUUUAUAUUCCAAAACUCUUAAAUAUCUAUUUUAUCAUUCAUAUUACCAACAUAUUUAACAUAUUCGUUAUACAUGAAAUAUUUUUGUGCGAUUAUAAUAUCUUAAAUGGCAUUUACUACUUUUAAAUUAAGAUAAUGAAUAUUCUAAAUUUUAAAACUUUAAACGUUAUUUAGAAUUUUAUAUUCAGCGAGCACUUUUGUUAUACAUGUAGUUGUGAUUUUUAAACAUUUUUUGUUCAAAUAAAAUUUUGACAACUUUUAAUUUAAAAUAUAUAUUUAUAUUUAUUUUGUAGAAGUUUCUUUCUCUUAAUUAGCUGAUAUAUUUAUACGAAACUUUUUUAUUUUAUAUUCCAAAACAAUCAAAUAUAUAUUUUAUUUUUAGAAUAGAAAAUAAACAAGUCCUCUACAGAAGUACAAUAAAUAAAUUAUUAUCUAAUAGAAGGACAAAUAUAUCAAAUUAUAAAAUUAUAAAGAUAAUAAUAAAAAAUGAAUUAGAUAAUACAAGUAAAACAAAUAUAUCAAUGUAUAAUAUAAAUAUAUUUGUAUAAAGAAUAAAAUGGUAAAAAACGAUUAAAGCAGAGGGUGUGUAUAAUAAAAAUAGCAGCAUAUAAAGACUCCAAGGCAAUAGAAAAAAAAUAAAGCAGAGGGUGGAAAGAAAAAAUCAAAGCCGAGGGAUGAAGAGUGAAUAAAGAUAAUAAAUGAAAAGAGAAUGAUAUUGGAAUCCACGUCAUUCUGACUCUGUACACAAUUCUGUAUCAGUUUCGGUGGACCUAGCAUUAUUCUUUCGUAAUAUAUGUUGGGUUUGUCUGUGCCCAUGGGUACAUGCUAAGCACGAAAUUUUAUAAGUUUGGUGAAUUUUAAUUGGUGUGGUUGGUGAAUUUGCAAGGGGUCCACCAUUAUAAAGAAAUAAGAGCCAAUCAAAAUCACUCAAACUUAAGAAUUUUAGUGCUUAGUGUGUGCCCCUAGGCACACACUAGAAAAACCGAUAUAUGUUUGUGAAUAUAUAAUGAAGUAGUAGCCAACACUACAAAAAACUGUCCUGUUUACGACGGAAAUUAAGCCUGAAAUCUGUCAUAAUUCCGAAGUUAUGACAGAAAAAUUCCGCCGUUUUUUAUCGAUUAGUAAGUUUAAAACCAUUCACAAAUUUCGGUAUACUUUGCAAGUUACAUAAGGCGUCACAAGUUUCACUAGAUGGCCUCCAUAAUUUCACUAUUAUAAUGGCAAACUUUACGACGCACAAUUCAUCGUAAGAUAGCUUUUUAUGACAGAAUUUUCAUUGUAAGUUGCGUAUUAUUCUAUUGGCAGAUGGGACCCACUUAUAUGAAAUUUACGACGAAAAUUUGAAUUUGUGACCAAUUUUUGAACUUUUGACUCGAGCAAAAAGACGGAAAAAAUCCGUCGUAAUUGGACCAUUUACGACGGAUUCAGUGUUAAAAAUCCGUCAUAAAUGGGUUUAUUUGUUGCAGUGAAUAUAUAGUUGCCCAUAAGGAGACUGAUGAAAAAGGAGUGGUACAUUUAGGUCCAAGAUUUAUAUUCUUGAUUGCUAGAAAUAAUUCGGAUGCUAUUUUAUUUUUAAUGAGUUAAGGUGGUGACCGAUAAAAUUUAAAUUCAAAUACUUUGGGACGUGGAAUAGUACUUUUUUUUUUUUUUAUUAAAAGUUAAUCCUUAUUAAAUCAUCAAAUGUUAGACAAUAGUGUCUCCGACAAGCAUAAUGGAGGAGACGAAAUAACAAUGAAGCUACUAAGCUUAUAAGAAUUUUAGCCAUCUAAUUAUCUGCUGCCUUAUUUGAAGGAUUUCUAACAUAUCUGGGAGUCACUUUCUAUAAUAUAUUCAGCUAUUAGUUCAGCAACCUCCAGAGCCUGGGAGCUGUGUGUACAAAAGUCCCAAAAACCAAAUAUUAUGUAAAACUAGUUGAGAAGCCGCGUUGCGGCGGCCUAUAAAAAUUAUAUUAAUGGCUCAAUAUUAAUAUUUGUAAAAUAAAAUAAUUUUGUGUUUGUCUAUAAAAAGUAUAUUAAUGUUUCAAAAUUAAUAUUUGUAGGAUAAAAUAAAUUUUAUAUUAUAAAAAUCUUGAUGUAAUACCAAUACUAAUAGAUAAAAUUGCAAAAUUGGACUAUAAUUCAUGAUGAAAAAAUGAAAAUAAAUUUAUACACGUAAUUAACAAUUUAAAACACGGCGAAUAUUAAUUUUAUUUGUGUUUUUUUAAAAGUAAUCAUGUUCUUACAUUGUCACUUUACUCCAAUUUUUUUGGAUUGAUUGUGCACAAACACGUCUAACUUAAAUCUGUGAGAUAGCGGUGUAUAACUACCCUUGCUUGUAACAAACUUUAAAUUUUAAUACUGUAUAAACAGUCUUACUUAAAAGUUGCUUGAAUAGAGCAAACAGAUAAUGCAUGAAUAAUUUUUUUUCAAUGUAUACAAAAUAAAUCAUAUAAAAAUUAACAACAUAUUCGAAGAACAAAAACAAACGUUAUAAAAUAAUAACCAACAAACAUACAUCACUAACAGUUAAUUUAUUGAUAUCAUCCAUCAAUAUCAUGUCAAGACUAUAUUCUUUUCCCGUGUUUUGAUUUGUCGACUCCAACAUAGCGGUCUAUAACUACCUUUGCUUACAACAACCUUUAUUUUUUUAAUACUGUAUAAACAGCCUUCACUUAUCGUUGCUGAAGAACGGCACUACCGAGUUAGAAAUCGAGCAAGAGAAUUAUCACCAAAGAGAGGUAAGGUUGUGGUAUUGAGAGAAAGAAUGUUGUGUUUAGAUGAUCUAAAACCCUACAAUCUAUAGGGGAUUUAUAGGUGCAGAGAGACCUGUGUGCUACUCUUUUCCAUAAUUAAAUAAUAUGAAACAAAAUCAGAUUAAAACUUUCAAGCUACUGUAUUCCAUAAAUAAUCUGAAACAAAAUUAGAUUCUGAAACUUGCUUCCAAUAUACCCGAAACUACUAAUCUGAAACAAAAUCAGAUUAAAACUUUCAAGCUACUAUAUUCCAUAAAUAAUCUGAAACAAAAUCAGAUUCUGAAACUUGCUUCUAAUAUACCCAAAACUAAAAAAGGUAGUUCUAGUUUUUGAUAUUUUUCAUCCAAAAAUUCCAGAAAAUUAGAAAAAUAGAACGGAGCGAUGUGAGAGACGCCACCUACACGCCCCUCGCUUCUCCUUUAUAUAAGUAUAUUGAUUUAUCUCAAAUCUUUGGUCUCGAUAAAUGGAAUUCAAUGUCCAGUCAUUAAAUUCCAACAUGUGCUAUAUAUACAGACCUGAUUGGGUAUUUCUUAGAAACCCAUUUCCAGUCAUAACCGCAGCGCACCUUACGCUCUUGUCUUUCACAGCCUGGACACCUUGAGUCCACAAUGAUAAGAUGUCAUCACGCUACACUUGAGCCAUCUUCUUGCUAGUUGGGAAUAAGAAGUUCUUGUGCAAUUCUUGUGCUGUCGAUGCCAAUACUCACUUCCUUGAGCUGUAUUUAUAGGGUUUCGGACGGUCCUAUUUGUCCACUUAUUGAUAGGUACACUUAUCCUUAUCUGCAUGUGGUAGGAGGAUGCUCUGUCUCAUUAUUCUUUCUUGUUAUUAAAUAAGUGGAGCUUGGACAUUACUCAACUCGAUCAACUCUGAAAUUUGAUAUUGGCACAGAUGAACAACCACGAAACAUUGAGCUUCUCAGUAAUUGUUGAACCAGAAUUUUCUGGAAACUGAACUAGAAAAUUCGCCACAAGAUCUUCCUGUAUAAAUAAACUUAUAAUUACUUUCAAGUUUCAAGGCUGCUAAUUAAAUUUCAUAAUAUAUGUUUGUGAAUAAAUUAUAUUGAAUUAGUAGCCAAGGAGAAGUUUAAUUGAUCAUGGGGUGAAAUGGGGUCUGGGUACAUCCACUAAUUUCAAAUAACGGCUACAAUGAGCCUACAACUUUAGACAAGACUACAAUGGAAGAAUGAAAUCUGUUACAAACGGAAUUGCAUGUGUCAUUUUUCACGGAUUUGGUACUUUUUUUUUGAGAAAUUCACGGAUUUAGUACUUGAAAUCCGUCAAAAAAGAAGGAUGUAUAGUAGCGCAGCCGCAGAACUAUUCAUGCAACUACAAUUAGAGAACACCGAUUCUACAAGUCUAUCACUCUUCUCGAUUACUAGGUAUAUAGAGUUGUGUAGUUAACAUAACUGCUGUAUGAAAUUUAACACCCUCCCUUGAUCGGGUCGAAAAGAAUUCCGUGCAAGAUAAAUUUUAAAAAAGGCGAUAUAAUUCUAACGUCAUUGAAAAUACUUUUGCAGACACUCAUUAGAGGAAAUUAAAUUUCAACGGUUUUUGGGUACUUGUAGUAGAAUUAGAUGUACAGUACAUGUUUUCUCGUAAGAAUUUGUCCUGCAAACAGUCCCUUUUCACCGUUAUUUCUAUAUGGUUUAUUAACAAGUGAAAUUUUUCAGUGGACUAUGUAUGGAAUAUCAAGAUUUGGUUAUUUUUACAUAAUUUUUUUAUUUAAAAAUAAUUAUUAUUAUACUAAUAUGAAAGGACUUCUAUAUUGAUAUAAUGAUUAUCCCACCAACAUAAUUACAUUGUCAACAAAAAUAUCCACUUUAAAUUUUAAAACGCAAACAAUUUAAAUUAUGAAACAACACCCUUAUUUGGUUAUCACAGUAUUUUUUUAUUUGAUGAUAAUUAUUAUUAUACCUUUAUGAAAAUAUUUUCAUAUUGAUGAGGAUUUUUUAAUAUAAUGAUUAUCCCACUAACAGAUUACAUUGUUAACAAAAUCAGUCCUUUAUAAUUUAAACGUUAAACAAUUUUAUUUAUGAAAUAACUUUAUAAAAUUUCUAUCAUGUUUCACAAUUCAAUAAAAUAGGGAGUCUAUAUUAAUAUUAAUAAACCAAAAUUUGGUUAACAUAAUUUUUUUAUGAAUAACAAAAUAACUAUUAUUAUACUAUUAUUAUUAUAAUAGUAUCAGUAGACUAGUUUAAAAAAAAAAAAAGUAUGAGUAGACUUUAUAUAUUGACCAAAAUUUUGGUAUGUAACGAUUAGGACACCGACAUAAUUACAUAAUUAUCUACAAAACUAUUUAUCUUAAUUUUUUAAACUUAAAUAGUUCAAUUAACGAAACAAAUCUAAUUUAGUUAUUGACAUAUAUAUAUAUAUAUAUAUAUAUAUUAUUUAAUAUUAAUAAUUAUUAUAUUACUAUGAAAAGUCUUUCAUAUUGAUCACAAUUUUAUAAUAUUUUUGAUUUAAUAAUAAUAAAUAUUAUACUAUAAAAAAAACUUCCAUGUUGAUUAGAAGUUUAUAAUGUAAUAAUUAUACUACAACAGGUUGCAUUACCUAUAAAAAUAUUAGUCUUAAUUUUUAAAACUCAAACAAUUUAAUUAAUGAAAUGACUCGAAUUUAAUUAUCAUGAUAUAAUAAUUAUAUAAUAUUACUAUGCAAAUAUUUUCAUAUUGAUCGGUAUUUUAUAAUGCAACAAUUAUCUCAACAACAGAAUCACAUUGCCAACAAAUCUAUUUAUUUUAAUUUUUUAAAACUCAAACAACUUAAUUUAUGAAAAAACUUUAUAGAAUUCUUAUGACGUGUCAUAAUAAAAAUGAAUAAAGAGUCCAUAUUAUAUUAUAAACCAAAUUUAUAUUAAUAUAAAAUUUAAUUCAACACUUGUCUUUCGAAAUAUUGCAAUAAAGACCAAAAAAGUUGGGGUAAUAAUGCGAUGACUCCGUGGAGAAAAAAAAGGCACUAAACAAUUGUCCAUGUUAUAGAUUUAUAGCCAUACAAUGCAAGGACAGAAAAUCACAACAUUGCUAAAAAAAAGAAGAGAACAAAUUACUUUUGAAUUAGAUUUAUUUAGCUUAAACCCUCUCUUACAAUUAUAUAUUAAUUUGUCAAAUUCUAAAGGAACUCUAAUUAAUUAAUAUUACACACACGUCUAAAAUAACUAUGAAUUAAAAAAAUUUAAAUUAUACUACAGACUGAAUACCUACAAACCACCUUAUAAUAUACGUUGGUUCUGAAUAUAUAUUUCAACUCUUUAGAAAUCAUAAAACAACAUAAUGAUUUGUUAAAAUAAAACACAUAAUUCUGAAUUAAAUUCAUAUCAUAACUGUAUGCGAGAAUUAUUUUUAGAAAAAAAAUAAUUUAAAAUAUGAUCAAAUGUUCAUCACAGAAAAUUAUAUAUAUAAAGAUUAAUAGUUUAAAUAUGUAUAUUAAAAUCAUUAUAUUUCUAAUAAAUUUCAAAAUUUUAAUUUUUGUAUAAUUUUCACCAGUGCAUAUUUUUCUAGCAGGAUGGAUCCAUUUUAUUUUCAUGUUGUUAGGGAAUAUAAAGUGAAUGUUGAUUAAUUCAUUUGAAUAGUCAUGUGGUAAUAUUGGUAAAGUGUGAAGAAAUUGUUUUUGGCAAGAAACUGUUCGAUAGAAUGCCUAUAACAUGUGUUGUUUGGCCGAGUAAAAAUUACGGGCCUGUAAAAGCACUGUAUUUGAAGGAGGCGCUAAAUGUUUUUAUUGAUAGGAAAAGAAGUGGGAUGAGGUCUAAUCAAGUUGGAAGAACUCCUGGAGUAGAAGCAGUGGAGUGUGGAAAACGUUUAUAGUGAAAUUUUUAGAAAAUAUAAAGGGACUGUUUGGGUGACUUUAAAAUUAAAUGUUUUUUGUUUAAAGUAGAGAAGUGAAGUAGAAGUUAGAAGUAAAUUAAGAGUUAUGAGUGUUUGAAAAAUAAGUAGAAGUCAGCUUCGAUUCUUGACUUUUUACUUUUUACGUAAACUGUACGAAUAAGUGCUUCUAAUUUAUAUCCCGAGCCGGACUUAAAAGUUAUAGCCAAACACCCCAAUAUAACGACGUCUUUGCUUCAAAAUCGUAUUUUUGUGAUACUUUCUGAUAACCCUUUCAUUCAUCUAGUACUUCUAUAUGUUCCAGAUUCUCUCACUGUCACUGUACUGUUGUAAUUUUAUUGAUGAUUUUUUCUAGACAUAUUUAUUUAAUAUUCAUUUCCAUUUUUGUUUGGUGAUUUUUUAUUUUUACAAUUUGGGUCAUGACAAGUUCGAGAUUCUAGGGUCUAAUGCAUUGGAUGUUCAUCAUCUUUAAUAAAAUCCGUUCUCAAAGUCCCAGGUACUUGUUUAUGGCGUAUCACUUACUCUCUCCGUCCCAAUCAAUUCUAUACAGUUUCCUUUUUGGGAUGUCCCAUCAUUUCUAUACAUUCCCAAAAUAGCAACUUUUUAUAAUAUAAAACAUUAUUACACCCACUACAUUCUCCCACUAUCUCCAUUAUAUAAUAAUAAAAACACUAUUACACCCACUACUUUACUCCACUAUCUCAAAUCUAUUAUUAAAAAAUAUAUGGGUCCCACCACUUUACCAACUUUCCAUAUAACUCUACUCAUUUCUUACACUUUUUCUUGGUCUCCGUGUCCGAUCCCAAUGUAUAUAAUUCAUUGGGACGGAGGGAGUAUAUAUUUAAACACCAACAUAUUGGCGAUUAUUUCACACAUUCCACAUCAGCCAAACCAGAUAGGUGAUGUUGGCAAUUGGAAAUUAUUUAGUUUAUCAGAUGCAUGUUUACCAGACUGGGGCAAUGACAGCACCAAUGACAGUAAGGCCAGUCUUCCAGGUGGUUCCAUCACAUCCAUUCAUCGAGAACUUGACAGUAUUCUCACAGCCGCAUGCUGAGUUGAUGAAUUCACCAACCUUAAGUCCCACCAAUGUAUUCUUUGGCUUGGUCUCCAAAUCUUCCUUGUGCUCUUCAGUAGUGCGGUUGGGACGAGUAAGCUUAAGGGUCACUGGACCGUUCAUGCAAAGAUUGUCGCUAAGCUCCACAACAAAAUACACUCCGUAUUUCACUCCCUUUUUCAGGUUGCUGGUAUCGUACUCUCCGUCAAUUUGGAGCCAGCAUACUGUAAUUAGUUUAGCAACCUCCAGAGCCUCGCAGCUGUGUGUACAAAAGUCCCAAAAACCAAAUAUUACGUAAAAAUUUAUCUCAAAUCUUUGGUCUCGAAAAAUGAAAGUCAAUGUCCAGUCAUUAAAUUCUGUAGUAUAAAAACACCUACGCGUUCCAACAUGUGCUAUAUAUACAUACCUGAUUGGGUAGGUCUUAGAAACCCAUUUCCAGUAGCGGCUGUCUGAACCCCAGACUAUUGAGAGUUCCUUUGCGGUGAUAACCGCAGCGCAGGACUAAAACAUUUAAUUAACAACGGAGAUAUUUCAGAAUUAAAUUAUAUCAUACAAAAUUUAUAUGGCUAAUUAGACUAUAAGAACAAGUCACACGCAUGACAAUAAUACUAUUGCAGAACUAUAAUUUCAGUAGCUUCCAUAAAAAGGUACCGAAUAUUAACAGCCAAAACAACUUACACUCUUGUCUUUCACAGCCUGGACACCUUGAGUCCACAACGACACGAUGUCAUCACGCUGCAAUUGAGCCAUCUUCCUUGCUAGUUGAGAAUAAGCAGUACUUGUGUAAUUCUUGUGCUGUCGAUGCCAAUCCUCACAGCUUCCUUGAGCUCUAUUUACAGCGUUGAGUACGGUCCUAUUUGUGCACUUAUUGAUAGUUAUACUUAACCUUAUCUACGGUAGUAGGAUGCUCUGUCCUGUUAUUCUUUCUUUUUAUUAAAUAAGUGGAGCUUGGAUAAGAGAUUCAUCAAUUAUUUAUGCCAUUUGUGCGGUAGAAGCCUCACUGGAAUCUGGUAACUUUCGGUUUUGAUUGAAAUACUCAUAUAACGAUGAAAUUGUGGAAGCAUCCUACUAUGAAAAAAGAAAUACAUACAGUGACAGGAGUACUUCUGUCAGAUCUCGGACAUUGCUCAACUCGAUUAACUCUAAAAUUUAAUAUUGGCACACAUGAACCAAACCACAAAAAACUGAGCCUCUGAUGAAUCGUUGAACCAGAAUAUUCUUGAAACUGAACUAGAAAAUUCGUCACAAGAUCUGCCUGUAUAAAUAAACUUAUAAUUACUUUCAAGGCUGUUAAAUUUCAUAAUAUAUGUUUGUGAAAAAAUAUUCUAAAUCCAGAAAAUUGACUAGCACAGGCUAUUUCCGACCAUUAUUGGUAACCUUUUUGCCAAGAAAACCGACCAAAUUAAGUUAUUUCUGACUAAACACAUAAUUUAAGAAAUGAACCACAUUUCCGACCGCUAGUGUAUGAAAUCGGUCGGUAAUGAUUUCACGGUCGAAAAUGAAUUUUUAGUUUGUUGGUUUUAAAACAGAGAAUCCCCAAAUGAACCCUGAAAUACCUUCCGACUGACUCAUUUCCAACCAACUCAGUUGGUCGGUUUUAUAAUAGGGGCUCCCCAAUUGAACCCUGAAUUUCGUUCAGACCUUAUCAUUUCCGACCAACUUUAUUGGUUGGUUUUAAAACAAGCCCCCUGAAUGAACCCUGAAUUUAUUUAUGGCAACCUCCAGUCACUUUUAGGUCUAUUCACAUGUAUGCCAAGUUCUAAGAAGAUUUUAAAACAUUACCGACUAAAGAUAGCGGUCGGUCGUCGGUCGGUUAUAAAUAUCAUUUCCGACCGAUCUGUUAUUUACAACCAGGUUUUAAAGGACCAACACAAUCGGUCGGUCGGUGGUCGGUUACGAGGUGAAAACCGACCAACUCUCUUUAUUUUCGGUCGGCGGUCGGAAAUGCCCGUUUUUCUUGUAGUUAUAUCAACUUCCAUCGGAACACAAUAUCUUACACCUUUAAGUCAUAAAUCACUGUUUUAAACUUUCCAAACAGCUUCCAAGUAUCAUAUUAAGAUUAUCCGAUGGACCUACUCGAAACAGUAUAAAACAUAUACAAACGAACACCACCAGAGCAAGGGUGUAGCCAAAAAGCUCAGAAAUUGCUCUAAAAACUUUACAACAUCUCGUACAAGGGAGUAACUAAACAAAAGGUGAUUAAAACACUGUGCUUAAAGUGUCAACGAAACAAAGAUUGUGUACACUUGAAUGAAAUAAAAUGAAAAAAAAGAAUGAAAUGGAAAAUUGUAAAUAAAUUUAAUGGAAAAUGAACAAGUUACGAGUAGAGUUACGAAAAUCGGACCUACUCAUUUAACCUACCGAUUUAGGAUUAUCAGCAAUCUGCGAUUAAUCGGAAGGAUUAAUUGGAGUGAAAACUAGAUAUAUUUUAAUAUUAAAUAAUAAUAAAUAUUUUGUUAUUAUUAUAUUAGUUAUUUAUCAACAAAUAUAUAUUUACUAUAUCAUAAAUUCUACAGUUGUUCAUAUUUAUAGUAAUAUAAUAGUUAAUUUUAAUAAAUUUUAUAUAUACUUUGAUUAAGAAAAUUUUAUAAGGAUUAAUCAGGUUUAAAAAAUCAAAUUAGUCGCCUACCUUGGGGGAUUGAUCGUUAAGUCAAGGGAUUUUUAGAACAAUGGUUAUGAGACAAUAGUGACUAAACACGAAUGAGCCUAAAUUUAGUGUGCUCUUAGACUUUGUUCACUUGGAUGGAAUGAAAUGAUGAGAAAAUGAAAUGAAAUUUGUAUUAUAUUUUGGGGAGGUUGGAGUAAAUGUUUAUAAUUUUCAUUCAUUCAAUCAUUUACACACCAUUCUACACCAUUUGAGUUAAAAAAUCUAACCACAUAUUUUGAAAGGAAUGCUGAUUCCAUUUCUUCUAUAUUUUCCCAACAAUCCCCGUCAUGCGAAAUUCAGAUUCUCAACCUCACUCACUAUUGUCUCAUACAUUCUCCUUUCUGUUUUUGUAGUUUUUCAUUCCAAGUGAACGCAACUUUAGUGUGCUUAAUUAAACAAACAUCAGCACAAAACAAUAUACAGUUCCUCAUUAUGUUUAACUAAUCUUUUAGUAAGACCUUUAAGUUAAAAGUGCUAAAGUAACAGUAGAGACCUUGAAGCAAUUACGAGCUAAACGUUAUAAUAGCCUGAACACUCCGUACUUUAACUUUUUAUAUAUUAAAACACCAAGAUAUUGGCGAUUAUUUCACACAUUCCAUAUCAGCCACACGUACCAGACAGGUAAUGUUGGCAAUUAAUUGGAAAUUAUUUAGUACAUGAUGAUUGUGAGCCACUACAAGAAAAACAGACUCAGACAACACCUUUCAGACAACACAACGAAAAAAAACCGUUGCGAAAAAAGAACACACAACGGUUGCUUUUUUGACCUCGACUAUCCAUUGUCUAAACCAGGACUCAUACUACGGUUUUUAAAAGCGUUGUUAAAAAAUAUGUAAAAAAGUUUGUUUGACACAACAGUUUAUAAAGACCAUUGUUUUUCAGAAAUUCACACAAUUGUCUAUAAAACUGUUGUUAAAUAUUAUACAACGGGUUUCCAAAACCAUUGUUAUUUGCAAAGUCAGACAAUGUUGUCAAGUAACCGUUGUAAUUAAUAAACAACGGUUGGGGAAACAGUUGUGUUUGUACAUAUUACACAAUAUUCCACUAAACCGUUGUUAAAGAAUGCACAACGAUUUUAAUAAUGAGUUGUUGUAUUCAAAUUCACACAACCGUUUUUGGUAGCAUUGUUCUUUAAACCUCGCACAACAGUUUGGCUUAAUUAUAUGUAUUGUAUUGUUGUAUCAUUUUAACUCAUACAACAGAUGAGUAUAUAGAAACCGUUGUCUAUUAGAGACACUAAAAGACAAAAAUUACCUUUUUAUAAUAAGACAAAAUUUACAAUUGACUAUUUUUGUUAAAAAAACAUAUAAAACAAACAUAAAAAAAAUUAAUUUUUUUUAUACAUGACUAAUAUUGGUAGUUCUUAACAUCCGUACGGUUAGAUCAUCAAAAAAAAUAUUUAUAAAUUAUUACGGAACUAAUCUUAUAGAUAACAAAAUUUCUAACCAGUGCUUCCUAAAUUGUAAACAUAAAACACAUACUAAGAGGGGUGUAUUGGAUUGGGAUUUUAAAGAUUUUUUUGCAUUCAUGAAAUCCGAGGGUAUUCGAUUGGGAUUGUUUGAAAUCCAUUAAAAUCUUGAGGUAUUCAAUUGGGAUUUUAAAUUAUGCUUUAAAAUCCGAUGGUAUUCAAUUGGGAUUGUUUAAAAUCCAUUAAAAUCUGAUGGUAUUCAAAUGCUGAUGGAUUUUUUUUCAUUUCAUAAAAUGAUGGAUUUUGUGGCAUUCUUCAGUGUAUUUUAAGUUUUUUGAAAUCCCACCAAAUUCAAUGGGAUUUUGAAGCAUUGUACCUAAAUCCUAUCAACUCUGCGACAUUUCAUCAAGAAUCCGCACAAAAUCAAAAUCUCAUACAAUCCAUUAAAAUCCAUAGACUAAAAACAAUGCAUUAAAAUCCCAAUCGAAUACACCCCCGUAAUACUCACGUCCGAACUACAAAAUUAUCUUCUUGUUACAAAUGAACAAUACAAAUUUGCAUAUAUGUUUAAUACAAAUAUAAUUUUUAGAUAAAAAACAUAAAAAUAAGGAUUUUUCAAGGAUAAGAGAAUCUUUAACUCUUAAAAAAAAUAAUUUAUUAGACAACUGUUUUUUUCCAAUAAAUUGUUGUUUACACUACUUACAUACAACGAGUUUUGUUGAAAACGUUGUUUGAGCUUAUUUUGGACAAUAAUUUCUCUUACAAAAAUUCUCAUGGGACAAUAACCAUUGUCUAUUUACAAGAAAAUGUGGCACCACCUGAUUGGUGGAAAAUAUUUCACCUGGAUUGCUUACUUGGCAAAAUGUCACCAAUUGAUUGACUUCACCUGGAUCACUUAGUUGGCAUAAUAAGAGCCCUUGACUUUCUGAAGGUGUCACACAACGGUUUUUUAAGAAAACUGUUGUAUAAUAUCUAAUUCUUAAAUUUUUUAAUUUUAUAAUGACUUUGAAAUUGAUUUUUAAAAUUUUUAAAUUUGAAUAAUAAAAUAAUAUGACAGUCAAAAUUUAAUAAAUUUUAUCAUUUAAAAUUUGACCAUGGCUAUUAUAAACUCUUAGAUCAACCUGAACUAGGUCUAUCAUAAUCAAACAUGAUUACGCUCGAGAGCGCCCAAUGAGCGCCUUGGGAGCGCCCUAUAAGCGCCCCAGGAAAAAUUUUCAUUAACCAGCUCUACGCCUCUACCUCUCUAGAGAAACACAUUCUCUGUCUCUUCUCUCUCAAACAAACUCUCUCAUUUUCUUCACUGUGGAACAAAUUCCAGAUCUUUCUUCUCAGUCUCUUCGUCUCGUCGGCUGGGUCCGGAGCGCCCGAGAAGCGCCCUGGGAGCGCCCCAGGAGCGCCAAGUGCGCCCGAGGUGCGCUUGAGGACCUCACCAGCGUCGACCUGGGCACCAAGGAUGCCCUAAAUCGACCUGGGUGAGGUCGAAAAAUGACUUGGGCGUCAAAAAACACCCAACGCCCGAGAGCGCCAGAGAAGCGCCCUGGGAGCGUCCUAUGAGCGCCCCAGGAGCGCCAAUAGCGCCCGAGGUGCGCCUGAGGACCUCACCAGCGUCGACCUGGGCACCAAGGAUGCCCUAAAUCGACCUGGGUGAGUUCGAAAACUGACUUGGGCGUCAAAAAACACCCAACGCCCGAGAGCGCCCGAGAAGCGCCCUGGGAGCGUCCUAUGAGCGCCCCAGGAGCGCCAAUAGCGCCCGAGGUGCGCCUGAGGACCUCACCAGCGUCGACCUGGGCACCAAGGAUGCCCUAAAUCGACCUGGGUGAAGGGCAACAUACAUACUAAGUAAGAGAUAAGGGAGAGAGACAAAUAGAGAGAGAGCGACUGAGAGAUAGUAACAGUCAGAGGGAGGGACAGAGUGAGAGAGGGAGACACAUAGAGAGAUCGGGAAAUAUAUUCUAAGAGAGUGGAGAUGGAGGGAAGGAGGGAGAGAGAGAUUUUUAGGACAUUCACUGAGAAAGCAAUGUCUAAAAUGUGAGUAUUAAUUUAUGAUGGGUCCUCAUUAAUGUCUGGGCUAAUACAUUUUGCCUUUAGAAAGCCUUUCCCCUUGCUGAUUUAUCUUUAUUUGUAUAACCCUGCAGUCAUAAUCUUUAUUUUGGUGCGCAUUAUUAAUUUUGGAGUUGCUUUCUGCGCUGACAUUUUUAUGAUUGCAGUCAGAAACUCAAUUUUCCUACUAGAGCUAUGUUCUGUUUCAUGACACAAAAUAGCUUACAAUUAGUGUAUGAGGGCCUUCGAUUUGGGUCCUUCGAUUUGCAGUCUAGAGGGCCUGGUUGGCAAGUUGAGACUGGUAGAAUGGACAACUUAACUACUAGCAAAACUACAACAAACAAUAACAUUCCACCCCAACUUCCGAUUAUAUCAGCACACGUAUAUGCCUAUGUAUUAUUUUACCAUAAUGGCGAGUUCUCUCGAUAUUGCUUGAUUAAUUUGCAUAACUUGUCUUUGCUGCAGGUAUUACAAUCUCGCACAUGCAGUGAAUGAAAGAGUUUUAAGGCAGCCCUCAAUGCUACAAGCUGGAAUCUUGAGAGAUUAUCAUAUUGUAUGUUCCAUUUUUCUGAGAGACUGAUCUAAAUAAAACUUAUUCUUUGGUUUAUUGUCUUAUGUCAUUGCGAGUAGCUCUUUCUUGUUAACAUAGCAACAAGUAGAUCCUUGCCAGUCAUGUGUAGUAUUAUGGAACAUUUGAUUUUUGAUUUGUUGAUGCAGAUAAGGACAACUACGUCAACUACCACAAGAGAUUAAUUGAUUUAGUAAAUAUCAGACGGUUAUGAGGACGACAACACCAUGGGUAGUGCCCAGCCAGCUUAUACUUCAAUGAGAAAGUAUGUAAGGUACUAUAGAGACUUUGUGAUUGGGCUUAACAAAUCCUUGGUGGAUGAUUCCAGUAUUGAGAUAUGCAUGCUUGUACAAGGUUAUUUGUAGCCAUUUGAAAUGUUAUUAAUUUAGUUUGUACAAAUUAUUUUAAUCUUUUGUUAGGCAAAGAUUUGACUUUCAGUUACUUGUAUAAAUUGUAUAAGACAAUAGUUUGAUUUCUAAAGUUUUUACCAUCUCAACAAUUGUACAAAUAAAGUUCACACAACUGUUGACUCUAUUAAUGCAAGAAAACACAUUAUUUUAUCGAAAUUGUUGUGGGGAGGGAAGAAAGACAAUACUUUGUCUCAAGGGAACUAUUGAAUAACAAAUUGUUUUAAAACAUUCUUUUAUAACUAAACCGUUGAAUGGAGUAAUUUCAAACAAUAUUUUUUUUUUUGGUAUUAUUGACUAUAGGAAAGAAGGACAAUCUUUCGUCUCAGGGGAACUAUUGUCUGAAACAUAUCAGACAUGUGGUAUGCAUUUAAGAAACGCAUGAAUAACACAAGGUCUUACAACACUCUGUUACAUCAAAACAGUUGUGUAUACCAACCUUCCAACAACAUUUUCUCGUAUUUGCGUUGUUGUCUUGCAGUAAGACAGACAACGAUUGCGUACCGUUGUCUCAUCCCAGUAUCAGACGGCAUCUCAAUACUCAACGGUAUUUGAGGGUUUCAGACAACGGGUAAUUUCCGUUGUCUGAGAUUCAUGUUUAGCAGUUAACUGGGGCAAUGACAGCACCAACGACAGUAAGGCCCGUCUUCCAGGUGGUUCCAUCACAUCCAUUCAUCGAGAACUUGACAGUAUUCUCACAGCCACAGGCGCCUGUGUUGCAGAAUUCACCAACCUUAAGUCCCACCAAAGUAUUCUUUGGCUUGGUCUUCAAAUCUUCCUUGUGCUCUUCAGUAGUGCCGUUGGGACGAGUAAGCUUAAGUGUCACUGGACCGUUCAUGCAAAGAUUGUCGCUAAGCUCCACAGCCAAAUACACUCCGUAUUUCACUCCCUUGAUGAGGUUGUUGGCAUUGUACUUUCCGUCAAUUUGUAGCCAGCAUACUGUGAUCAGUUCAGCAACCUCCAGAGACUGGCAGCUGUGUGUACAAAAGUCCGAAAAACCAAAUAUUAUGUAAAACUUUAUCUCAAAUCUUUGGUCUCGAAAAAUGGAAGUCAAUAAUGUCCAGUCAUUAAAUUUUGUAGUACAAAAACACCAAAAGCUUUCCAACAUGUGCUAUACAUACCUGAUUGGGUAGGUCUUAGAAACCCAUUUCCAGUAGCGGCUGUCUGAACCCCAAACUAUUGAGAGCUCCUUUGCACUGAUAACCGCUGCGAAGGACUGGACCAAUUCAUCAACAUUAACGGAGGUAUUUCCGAAUCAAAAUAUAUCGUACAAAAUUAUAUGACUAAUUAGACUAUAAUUAAGAACAAGUCACACGCAGGUAUACUGGUGUGUGCAUGGUGCAUGAAAAUAAUACUAUUGCAGAAUUAUAAUUUCAAUAGCUUAAUUAGUAUAUAAAAAGGUACCGAAAAUUAACAACCAAAACAACUUACACUCUUGUCUUUCACAGCCUGGACACCUUGAGUCCACAACGACACGAUGUCAUCACGCUGCAAUUGAGCCAUCUUCCUUGCUAGUUGAGAAUAAGAAGUUCUUGUGUAAUUCUUGUGCUGUCUAUGCCAAUCCUCACUUCCUUGAGCUGUAUUUAUAGCGUUUCAGACGGUCCUAUUUGUGCACUUAUUGAUAGUUACACUUAACCUUAUCUAUGGUAGUAGGAUGCUCUGUCCCGUUAUUCUUUCUUUUUAUUAAAUAAGUGGAGCUUGAAUAAGAGAUUCAUCAAUUAUUUAUGCCAUUUGUGCGGUAGAAGCCUCACUGGAAUCUGGUAACUUUCGGUUUUGAUUGAAAUACUCAUAUAACGAUGAAAUUGUGGAAGCAUCCUACUAUGAAAAAAGAAAUACAUACAGUGACAGGAGUACUUCUGUCAGAUCUCGGAAAUUGCUCAACUCGAUUAACUCUGAAAUUAAAUAUUGGCACACAUGAACCAAACCACAAAAAACUGAGCUUCUCAUGAAUCGUUGAACAAGUAUAUUCUGGAAACUGAACUAGAAAAUUCGUCACAAGAUCUGCCUGUAUAAAUAAACUUAUAAUUACUUUCAAGGCUGUUAAAUUUUAUAAUAUAUGUUCGUGAAAAAAUAUUCCUAAUCCAGAAUACCAACUACCACAGGUUGUUUCUGACCAUUAUUGGUAACCUUUUUGCCCAGAUACCGACCAAAUUAAGUUAUUUCUAAGUAAACACAUAAUUUAAGAAAUGAACCACAUUUCCGACCGCUAGUGUAUGAAAUCCGGUCGGUAAUGACUUCACGGUCGGAAAUGAAUUUAGUUUGUUGGAUUUAAAACAGCGAAUCCCCAAAUGAUCCUGCAAUACCUUCUGACUGAAUUUUUUUUAAAAAAAAACCCUUCUGACCGACUCAUUUCCGACCAACUCAGUUGGUCGCUUUUAUAAUAGGGGCUCCCCAAUUGAACCUUGAAUUUCGUUUUGACCGAAUCAUUUCCGACCAACGUUAUUGGUUGGUUUUAAAACAGGGCCCCAAAUGAACCCUAAAAUUUAUUUCCGACCGCCCCUAGUUGCUUUUAGGUCUAUUCAAGUGUAUGCCAGGUUCUAAGAAAAUUUUAAAACAUUACCGACUAAAGAUAGCGGUCGGUUGUCGGUCGGUUAUAAAUAUCAUUUCCGAUCUUUUAUUUACAACCAGGUUUUAAAGGACCAACACAAUCGGUCGGUCGGUGGUCGGUUACGAGUUGAAAACCGACCAACUCUCUUUAUUUCCGGUCGGCGGUCGGAAAUGCCCGCUUUUCUUGUAGUGAUAGCAACUUCCAUCGGAACACAAUAUCUUACACUUUUUAAGUCAUAAAUCACUGUUUUAAACUUUCCAAACAGCUUCCAAGUAUCAUAUUAAGCUUAUCUGAUGGCCCUUGUACUCGAAACAGAAUAAAACAUAUACAAACGAACACCACCAGAGCAAGGGUGUAGCCAAAAAGCUCAGAAAUUGCGUUAAAACCUUUUUAACAUCUUUGUGCGAGGGAGUAACUAAACAAAAGGUGAUUAAAGCACUCUGCUUAAAGUGUCAACGAAACUAAGUUCGUGUACACUUGAAUGAAAUUGAAAAAAAGAAUGAAAUGGAAAAUUGUUCGUAAAUUUAAUGGAAAAUGAACAAGUUACGAGCAGUGUUACGAAAAUUGGACCUAAUCGGUUAUCCUACCCAUUCAGGAUUAUCGGCAAUACGUGAUUAAUCGGAAGGAUUAAUUGGAGUGAAAACCAGAUAUAUUUUAAUAUUAAAUAAUAUUUAAUAUUUUUUUAUUAUUAUAUUAGUUAUUUAUUAUCAAAUAUAUAUAUUUAGUAUAUCAUAAAUUCUACGGUUGUUCAUAUUUAAAGUAAUAUAAUAGUUAAUUUUAAUAAAUUUUAUAUAUAAUUUGAUUAAAAAAAAUUUAUAAGGAUUAAUCAGAUUUUAAAAAUCAUAUCGGUCGCCUACCUUGGGGGAUUGAUCGUUAAAUCAAGCGAUUUUUAGAACAAUGGAUACGAGACAAUAGUGACUAAACACGGAUGAGCCUAAAUUUAGUGUACUCUUAGACUUUGCUGAGAGAAUGAAAUGAAAAUUGUAUUAUAUUUUGGGGAGGUUGGAGUAAAUGUUUAUAAUUUUCAUUACUUCUAUCAUUCUACACACCAUUCUACGUACACCAUUUGAGUUAAAAAAAUCUAACCCACAUAUUUUGAAAGGAAUGCUCGAUUCCAUUUCAUCUAACCCACAUAUUUUGAAAGGAAUGCUCGAUUCCAUUUCUUCUCUAUUUUCCAACAAUCCCCGUCAUGCAAAAUUCAGAUUCUCGAACUCACUCACUAUUGUCUAAUACAUUCUCCUUUCUCUUUUGUAGUUUCUCAUUCCAAGUGAACGCAACUUUAGUGUGCUUAAUUAAACAAACAUCAGCACACAACAAUAUACAGUUCCUCAUUAUGUUUAACUUAUCUUUUAGUCAGAUCUUUAAGUUGAAAGUGCUAAAGUGACAGUAGAGACCUUGAAGCAAUUACGAGCUAAACGUUAUAAUAGCUUGAACACUCCUUACUUUAACUUUUUAUAUAUUAAAAGCACCAACAUAUUGGCGAUUAUUUCACACAUUCCAUAUCAGCCACACCAGAUAGUUGAUGUUGGCAAUUGGAAAUUAUUUAGUACAUGAUGAUAAUCAGAUUCAUGUUUAGCAGUUAACUGGGGCAAUGACAGCACCAACGACAGUAAGGCCAGUCUUCCAGGUGGUUCCAUCACAUCCAUUCAUCGAGAACUUGACAAUAUUCUCACAGCCGCAGGGGGCUGUGUUGCAGAAUUCACCAACCUUAAGCCCCACCAAUGUAUUCUUUGGCUUGGUCGUCAAAUCUUCCUUGUGCUCUUCAGUAGUGCCGUUGGGACGAGUAAGCUUAAGGGUCACUGGACCGUUCAUGCAAAGAUUGUCGCUAAGCUCCACAGCAAGAUACACUCCGUAUUUCACUCCCUUGAUGAGGUUGGUGGCACUGUACUUUCCGUCAAUUUGUAGCCAGCAUACUGUGAUGAGUUCAGCAACCUCCAGAGGCUGGGGACUGUGUGUACAAAAGUCCGAAAACCCAAAUAUCAUGUAAAAAUUUGUCUCAAAUCUUUGGUCUCGAAAAUUGGAAGUCAAUGUCCAGUCAUUAAAUUCCAACAUGUGCUAUAUAUACAUACCUGAUUGGGUAUUUCUUAGAAACCCAUUUCCAGUAGCGGCAGUCUGAACCCCAAACUAUUGAGAGUUCCUUUGCACAGAUAACCGCAGCGAAGGACUGGACCAUUUAAUCAACAUUAACGGAGAUAUUUCCGAAUCAAAAUAUAUCGUACAAAAUUAUAUGACUAAUUAGACUAUAAUUAAGAACAAGUCACUGGUGUGUGCAUGGUGCAUGACAGUACUAAUAAUAUUGCAGAAUUAUAAUUUCAUUACCUAAAUAAAAAAAGUAGUGAAAAUUAACAACCAAAAUAACUUACACUCUUGUCUUUCGCAGCCUGGACACCUUGAGUCCACAACGACACGAUGUCAUCACGCUGCAAUUGAGCCAUCUGCCUUGCGAGUUGAGAAUAAGAAGUUGUUGUGUAAUUCUUGUGCUGUCGAUGCCAAUCCUCACUUCCUUGAGCUGUAUUUAUAGCGUUUCAGACGGUCCUAUUUGUCCACUUAUUGAUAGUUACACUUAACCUUAUCUACGGUAGUAGGAUGCUCUGUCCCGUUAUUCUUUCUUUUUAUAAAAUAAGUGGAGCUUGGAUAAGAGAUUCAUCAAUUAUUUAUGCCAUUUGUGCGGUAGAAGCCUCACUGGAAUCUGGUAACUUUUGGUUUUGAUUGAAAUACUCAUAUAACGACGAAAUUGUGGAAGCAUCCUACUAUGAGAAAAGAAAUACAGUGACAGGAGUACUUCUGUCAGAGCUAGGAGCCUAGGACAUUACUCAACUCGAGUAACUCUGAAAUUUAAUAUUGGCACAGAUGAACCAAACCACGAAACAUUGAGCUUCUCAGUAAUUGUUGAACCAGAAUUUUCUGGCAACUGAACUAGAAAAUUCGUCACAAGAUCUUGCUGUAUAUAUAAAUAAACUUAUAAUUACUUUCAAGGCUGUUAAAUUUCAUAAUAUAUGUUUGUGAAUAAAUAUUGAAUUAGUUGUUGAGUGAGUGUCAACCCUAGUCCCACGGAAAGAUAAAUAAGAUUUGUCUUAAACUUUAUUAGUAUGAGGUCUUCUGGGAGGAGUUUAAAAACAAAUCCGUGCGGGCUUGUGGAGUUGACAUGUGUUGCGCGGCCAAUAUUAGUAGCCAAGGAGAAGUUUAAUUGAUCAUAGGUGAAAUGGGGUCUGGGUACAUCCACUAAUUUCAAGGACAAGCCUGCAAUGGAAGAAUGAAAUCUGUCACAAAUGGAAUUGCAUAUGUCAUUUUUGACGGUUAAAUCCGUCAAAACUUUUCUCCAUUGCUAGGUUAAAGGGUUGUGUUACUUGUGUAGUUAACAGAACUGCCGCAUGGAAUUCAUCUAGUACUUGUAUAUGUUCCAGAUUCUCUCGCUGUCACUGUACUGUUGUAAUUUUAUUGAUGAUUUUUUCGAAACAUAUUUAUUUAAUAUUCAUUCACCAUUUUUGUUUGGCCAUAUUUUCUUGGCUUAAAGCAAGUGCUAGAAUAAAAGUAACAGUUACGACCCAAGCAGUAAAAUUGAAGGAACACUCCUUACUUUAACUUAUUAUUCAUUAAAACACCAACAUAUUGGCGAUUAUUUCACACAUUCCACAUCAGCCACACCAGAUAAGUGAUGUUGGAAAUUAGAAAUUAUUUAGUACAUGAUGAUUAUCAGAUUCAUGUUUAGCAGAUAACUGGGGCAAUGACAGCACCAAUGACAGUAAGGCCAGUCUUCCAGGAGGUUCCAUCACAUCCAUUCAUCGAGAACUUGACGGUUUUCUCACAGCCGCAGGCCGGGUUGGUGAAUUCACCCACCUUAAGUCCCACCCAUGUAUUUUUCGGCUUGGUAUGCAAAUCAUCGU